AAGUUUUUUUUUUUUUUAAUCACAUGGCAGAGAGAUAUAAUAAAAACAGAAAAAUGGCGACAGUCACGUUGUGGCGAGUCUAUGCUGCGUCAUUAGAUAAUCUUCCUGCAAAGAUCUCUAAGAACAAAGAGAAGAGGGAAAAGGAGCCCCGGCCGCAAAGGAUCCUGGCAUUGGUUCCUUUCCGUCAAGCGAUUGUAAAUAUAGCCUGGAUCUUGUUUACAUGAAGCAUCCAGCGGGAGGAGCCUGGGAGGAGGAAGAUGGAGGAGUCUCCACGGGCACGGCUCGCUGGAGUGAGCUUCCCAAACGGGAAGGAGGAGCCAAGACGGGGCUGGAGUCUCCCUCAAGCAGCCUGGAAGCUGCCUGGAGGGGGCCUCUAGGAGCUCGUUUCCAGAAAAGUGACUGAAUACUUGUCCACAGACUAUAGCUGAUGAAUGAUUAAUAAUGUUUUAGAAAUUUAUUUAUUUAAUUAUUCAUACAUUUGGUACACCAACAGCAGCACUUAGACUUCAUCUAUCAGACUGUUUAAUGUUUAAGAAGGGAAGGAAGUCAAAUAGACUAAAAAGGUAAGUAUUGGUGGAAGGAAUUAAGCAGAACAUAGAUAAAGAAUGGAGCAGAUUUUAUAAACAAUUUCCAUUACAGAAUUUUCCUCGAUGGGAGAGUCUCAUAUUGUUGAAUGUACUUGUCUCCUACCUCACUUACAAAUGAAGAAGCAAAUCUUGAAAAAACUAAAAGAAUUUAAAGCCAUAGAAAAUAUUGCUUUAAUAACUGUCCUGGCACACUAGAGUCUUUCACCUCUAGGUGCUGUAAACUGCACUGUAGGAAGGCACUCCUGCCAUAUUAAAAUUCCAGCAACUUUCUUAAGGAGUAAAGUCAGUCACUUACCCAGUGGCCAAAAGAUCAAUUAUGUCCUUGUAACUGCAGUUUUCUGCUCUUAAGAUCACACUCAAAGUAAAAUAUUUGUAAUAAAGGUGUAUUUUUUCCCCAUUUUUCCUAGAUUUGGAUAAGACAGACCUCUUCCUAUUCAGUGUCAGAGUCGACCUAUAAAAAUCAGAGAUCUAAUUCCAAGCUACAUGCCAGGAGAAAAGAAAGUAAAGUUGCAUUUGUGGGGAGAGGGUAAAUAGCCAAUUUAGUUUUUAGACUCUAAUCAAAAGAAGUGUUGUUUAAGUCAAAAUGCUCAAGAAACGUGGUAAGUUACCAACCCGAAAGAAGAGAGUAGUGGAAAGAGGGGGCGGAAUGGAAAACAAGCAAAAAUAAAAACAAUGAAGAUUAUUUUUUUCAAAAGCAAAAUCUGACAGCAAAAAAAUAGAAUAUAGAAUUGAAAACUUUUAAAUCUGAAUAAUAAGCUGAACAAAAAUACACACCGAAAAAUGCACUUGAGUAAAUUUAUGUACUACAUUGAGAUCAGAGGGACUACCCCUGUACGUUUUCAGGAUUCGGACCUAUGUUACCUGACCAUUGAGGAAAGCUUUCUUUUUAAUCUAGAAAAGAAAGUGAGUGUUAAAAAAUGAGAAGGCAGAGUAAAUAGAUCACCUUUUCAUCAGCAAAAUGUAAAUACACCUAAAGCAGGGGGUCAGUAGCCUUUCAGAAGUGGUGUGCUUAGUCUUCAUUUAUUCAUUUUAAUUUAAGGUUUCGCGUGUCAGUAAUACGUUUU